rnacentral:rRNA from 1 species
UACGAGGGGUGCAAGCGUUAAUCGGAAUUACUGGGCGUAAAGCGCGCGUAGGCGGCUUGAUAAGUCGGAUGUGAAAGCCCUGGGCUCAACCUGGGAACUGCAUUCGAUACUGUCGAGCUAGAGUGUGGGGAGAGGGUGGUGGAAUUCCCCGGUGUAGCGGGUGAAAAUGCGUAGAUAUCGGGGAGAACAUCAGUGGCGAAGGCGACCGCCUGGCCCCAAACACUGACGCUGAGGUGCGAAAAGCGUGGGGUAGCAAAAC